rnacentral:rRNA from 1 species
UACAUGGGGUGCAAACGUUGCUCGGAAUUAUUGGGCGUAAAGCGCACGUAGGCGGUUCGUUUAGUCGGAUGUGAAAGCCCUCGGCUCAACUGAGGAAGUGCACCCGAAACUGGCGAGCUUGAGUACGAAAGAGGAUCGCGGAAUUCCCGGUGUAGAGGUGAAAUUCGUAGAUAUCGGGAGGAACACCGGUGGCGAAGGCGGCGAUCUGGGUCGAUACUGACGCUGAGGUGCGAAAGCGUGGGGAGCAAACAGG